GACUAUGCACUCAAGAUGGUAAAGUGGGACAGGGGGCUAAAGGAUGCUGUCCUUCCCUUUAUGUCACCUCAUAGCCAGGAUUACUGAAGAGAGCUGCCCAAGGUUGUGGGUUGAGAAGACAAUAGCAACCUGUUGACCUGAGUCUUACGAGAAGUAGGUACACACUCCUUGGGCACCCUGGGACCUGAAGCUUCAUAAUUAA
rnacentral:lncRNA from 1 species